UUUUUUUUUUUUUUUUUUUUUUUUUUUUUUUUUUUUUUUUUUUUUUUUUUUUUUUUUUUUUUUUUUUUUUUUUUUUUUUUUUUUUUUUUUUUUUUUUUUUUUUUUUUUUUUUUUUUUUUUUUUUUUUUUUUUUUUUUUUUUUUUUUUUUUUUUUUUUUUUUUUUUUUUUUUUUUUUUUUUUUUUUUUUUUUUUUUUUUUUUUUUUUUUUUUUUUUUUUUUUUUUUUUUUUUUUUUUUUUUUUUUUUUUUUUUUUUUUUUUUUUUUUUUUUUUUUUUUUUUUUUUUUUUUUUUUUUUUUUUUUUUUUUUUUUUUUUUUUUUUUUUUUUUUUUUUUUUUUUUUUUUUUUUUUUUUUUUUUUUUUUUUUUUUUUUUUUUUUUUUUUUUUUUUUUUUUUUUUUUUUUUUUUUUUUUUUUUUUUUUUUUUUUUUUUUUUUUUUUUUUUUUUU
rnacentral:lncRNA from 1 species